rnacentral:tRNA from 1 species
GCAUCCAUGGCUGAAUGGUUAAAGCACCCAACUAAUAGUUCGGGAGACAUGGUCAAAGCCCGCAUUGAAUGUU